GUGGAAAUGGAAUCAUUCAAGGCCAGAAUGGUCAGGUAUUUAGGUGACCAAGGCUACUAACUGUCCACAGAAGCAAAAGGUAUCUCCCAAAAUAGAUAGAUUUUCUUGAAUCCUUGAUCUUUUAAUUUUUUAUAGUCAAUUUGUAAAUUGAAUUAGAAGCUGGGCAUGAUGGCACACACUUGUAAUCCCAGAGGCUUGGGAGGCUGAGGCAGGAGAAUUACAAGUUCAAAGCCAGUCUCAGCAAGUUAGUGAGACCCUAUUGUAAUGCCAGAUUCGUGGGACCCCAAUAGACCUCCAGGAGCCGAAUCCGAUGCAAUCACACAAGAGUCUUUAUUGCAAGCUCGAGCCUGGACUCACAAUCGUUCCUGACACAGCAGUCCCAGGGAGUAGUCCCGGUCCUUUGUUCAGUGAGAUUUUAUAGGUUUUUUUUGGGAUACUCUAUGCAUCACAACAUCACACAGCAAAUCAUUCCAUAUCGCGGGAAAGUCAAACAAGAACUCUUAACAUUGAUUAGCACAUUCACUGGUGGGAACAAGUUGGGUAGCGGUGAUUGGUCAGAACAAGAGGGGGAUUCAUUUGAACUGAUUGAUUUAGGCCACGAGGGGUGUAUGUGCCAAACUACAUGGUUUCCCAACAUGUUAUCAACCACCAUAAACUACUGGGGGGGUCAUCAGUCAUCCCAGGUAUUUUCCCUGUCUCAUGCUGAUUGGUGGUUGCUAGGGGGUUGCUAUGGGUCCUCACCUAGCCUAACUGCGUCAGGGACACCUAGCGCCAAAGAUCUCUCCUUUUAUUUACAGACAAACAACUCAGCAGUGUGGGUAUGUGCUUAGGGGUGCUCUGUGGGUUUUUCCAAGGAUAAGGGUCACGCCCCCUUCCUUGAACAGGUUUUGCUCUGAGGUAGAGGCUGGUUUCUCAAAAGUGGAGUCACAUCAGUUUCUCACUAUCUCUAAUGAAAAAUAAGAAGGGCUGGGGAUGUGGCUCUGUGGUUAAAGCACUCCUGGGUUCAAUCCUUGGUACAAAAAAAAUUAAAAUAGAAAAAGAUGUAUAGUCUUUAAAAUAUAAUGAAAACAAAACCCAAAAAACAAAACAAAACAAAACAACAACAACAACAACAAAACCCCAAACCAUCUACCAUUAACUAUUUGGAGGAAUGGAAAUAAUUAUGAAUUUUUUUUGCAUGGCUUAAUUACAAUAUCUAUUUUUAGUAGAAAUUUGAACAAUGUAUGCUUCAUUCUGUUGAUGCU
rnacentral:lncRNA from 1 species